GAUGAACGCUAGCUACAGGCUUAACACAUGCAAGUCGAGGGGAAACGAUGAGAGAGCUUGCUCUCUUAGGCGUCGACCGGCGCACGGGUGAGUAACGCGUAUCCAACCUACCCAUUACAGGGGGAUAACCUUGCGAAAGUAAGACUAAUACCCCAUGGCAUUUUAUGGUGGCAUCAUUAUAGGAUUAAAGAUUUAUUGGUAAUGGAUGGGGAUGCGUCUGAUUAGCUUGUUGGCGGGGUAACGGCCCACCAAGGCAACGAUCAGUAGGGGUUCUGAGAGGGAGGUCCCCCACAUUGGAACUGAGACACGGUCCAAACUCCUACGGGAGGCAGCAGUGAGGAAUAUUGGUCAAUGGGCGAGAGCUUGAACCAGCCAAGUAGCGUGCAGGAUGACGGCCCUAUGGGUUGUAAACUGCUUUUAUAGGGGAAUAAAGUGAGCUACGUGUAGUUUAUUGCAUGUACCCUAUGAAUAAGGACCGGCUAAUUCCGUG
rnacentral:rRNA from 1 species